UACGUAGGUGGCAAGCGUUGUCCGGAUUUAUUGGGUUUAAAGGGUGCGUAGGCGGUCCCAUAAGUCAGUGGUGAAAUACUCUAGCUCAACUAGAGGGGUGCCAUUGAUACUGCGGGACUUGAGUGAAGUCGAAGUAGGCGGAAUUGACGGUGUAGCGGUGAAAUGCUUAGAUAUCGUCAAGAACACCGAUAGUGAAGACAGCUUACUAGACUUAUACUGACGCUGAGGCACGAAAGUGUGGGGAUCAAACAGG
rnacentral:rRNA from 1 species